UGUCUGUGUGAGACUGUGUGUGAGACUGUCUGUGUGAGACUGUCUGUGUGACUGUCUGUGUGUGAGUGUGACUGUCUGUGUGAGUGUGUGACUGUCUGUGUGUGACUGUGUGAGACUGUCUGUGUGAGACUCUGUGUGUGACUGUCUGUGUGUGACUGUCUGUGUGAGUGUGUCUGUGUGAGACUCUGUGUGACUGUCUGUGUGUGUGUGACUGUCUGUGUGAGACUGUCUGUGUGAGACUGUCUGUGUGAGACUGUGUGAGACUGUCUGUGUGUGACUGUCUGUGUGAGACUGUGUGUGUGACUGUCUGUGUGUGACUGUCUGUGUGACUGUCUGUGUGUGAGUGUGACUGUCUGUGUGACUGUCUGUGUGUGAGUGUG